GUGGGAGCAAGGCUUGCCCGCGAUGCAGGCACCUCGGUCCCCCUGAAACCGUGUCGCCUUCAUCGCGGGCAAGCCUUGCUCCCAC
rnacentral:misc_RNA from 1 species